GAAAGCCUCUACUAGAGAGACUAGGAGAGAAAAUUGUAAGCAACUCUACCUUGUGUAGAAAGAAAAAUAGAGAGAUUGAGUGCCGCUAGUUACUCAAGAAAUUAUUUUCUUUCUUGAUGUUAUUGCGAAUCUUGCAUCCCAUUGUUUGUAAUAUAGUGGAAGUUCUGUCCAUAUCCUGUUUUGUUACACAAAAUAGGGAAAAAGAAUUAUUCCGCUAUGCAUUAGUAGUAGACGAGUUUUCCCAACAAUGGCUGAAGGCGAUAUUGUGUUGUACUUAAUGAAAAAUCUAUCAGUCUUGUUUGUCAACACAAUGAUUGGGUUACUGAUUCUGGUGCUUCCUUUCGUGUCAAUUCUCAUGAUGAUGUUUUCACAUCUUAUGCUGCUGGCAAUUUUGGAAAUGUCAAAAUAAGAAACUGCAAUGCAUCAAAAAUCAUGAAUAUUUGUGAUAUUUACUUGGAGACUAAUCUUGGAAGCAAAUUAGUACUCAAGAAUGCGAGACAUGUUCCAAAUAUUCGUCUUAAUUUAAUUUCUAUAAGCAACCUUGAUGAUGAAGGUUUUGAUAACUAUUUUGGUGAAGAAAAAUGGAAAUUCACCAAAGGUUUCUUGUGGUUGAUAUAGAAAAUAAGUUGAACACACUCUAUGCGAUGCAAGCAAAGCUGCAUAAAGGAGAGAUCAAUCAAAUCCAGAGAUGUGUCCAUUGGUUUGCCGUUUUUGGAUCAUUUUCUGU
rnacentral:lncRNA from 1 species